rnacentral:rRNA from 1 species
AACGCGAAGAACCUUACCAAGGUUUGACAUACAGGGAAAAGCCGUAGAGAUAUGGUGUCCGUAAGGGUCCUGUACAGGUGGUGCAUGGCUGUCGUCAGCUCGUGUCGUGAGAUGUUGGGUUAAGUCCCGCAACGAGCGCAACCCUCGUCCUAUGUUGCCAGCGGAUAAUGCCGGGGACUCAUAGGAGACUGCCGGGGUCAACUCGGAGGAAGGUGGGGAUGACGUCAAGUCCUCAUGCCCCUUAUGUCUUGGGCUGCAAACAUGCUACAAUGGCCAGUACAAAGGGUUGCGAGACCGCAAGGUGGAGCGAAUCCCAAAAAGCUGGUCUCAGUUCGGAUUGGGGUCUGCAACUCGACCCCAUGAAGUCGGAGUCGCUAGUAAUCGCAGAUCAGCAACGCUGCGGUGAAUACGUUCCCGGGCCUUGUA